rnacentral:rRNA from 1 species
CCUACGGUGUGCUGCAGUGGGGAAUAUUGCACAAUGGGGGAAACCCUGAUGCAGCGACGCCGCGUGAGUGAGGAAGUAUUUCGGUAUGUAAAGCUCUAUCAGCAGGGAAGAAAAUGACGGUACCUGACUAAGAAGCCCCGGCUAACUACGUGCCAGCAGCCGCGGUAAUACGUAGGGGGCAAGCGUUAUCCGGAUUUACUGGGUGUAAAGGGAGCGUAGACGGCUAAUCAAGUCAGAAGUGAAAACCCAGGGCUCAACCUUGGGAGUGCUUUUGAAACUGAGUAGCUAGAGUGCAGGAGAGGUAAGCGGAAUUCCUAGUGUAGCGGUGAAAUGCAUAGAUAUUAGGAGGAACACCAGUGGCGAAGGCGGCCUGCUGGACGACAACUGACGGUGAGGCGCGAAAGCGUGGGGAGCAAACAGGAUUAGAUACCCUAGUAGUC